ACGAACGCUGGCGGCGUGCCUAAUACAUGCAAGUCGACGGGGAUUAUGCUUGAUCGCUUCGGUGAGACGGCAUAUAUCCUAGCGGCGGACGGGUGAGUAACGCGUGGGUAAUCUACCUCGUAGUUCGGGAUAACAGGCCGAAAGGCUUGCUAAUACCGGAUGAGUUCAUGCUUAUGCAUAUAGGCAUGAAGAAAGGGCUAGCCUGCUAUGAGAUGAGCCCGCGUCCCAUUAGCUUGUUGGUGGGGUAAUGGCCUACCAAGGCAACGAUGGGUAGCCGGCCUGAGAGGGUGGACGGCCACACUGGGACUGAGACACGGCCCAGACUCCUACGGGAGGCAGCAGUAGGGAAUAUUGCGCAAUGGACGGAAGUCUGACGCAGCGACGCCGCGUGAGCGAUGAAGGUCUUCGGAUCGUAAAGCUCUGUCCUUGGGGAAGAAGGCGAAAGCUUGACGGUACCCAAGAAGAAAGCCCCGGCUAACUACGUG
rnacentral:rRNA from 1 species